AACGAACGCUGGCGGCAUGCCUAACACAUGCAAGUCGAACGAGACCUUCGGGUCUAGUGGCGCACGGGUGCGUAACGCGUGGGAAUCUGCCCUUAGGUACGGAAUAACUCAGGGAAACUUGAGCUAAUACCGUAUAAUGACUCCGGUCCAAAGAUUUAUCGCCUAAGGAUGAGCCCGCGUCGGAUUAGCUAGUUGGUGAGGUAAAAGCUCACCAAGGCGACGAUCCGUAGCUGGCUGAGAGGAUGAUCAGCCACACUGGGACUGAGACACGGCCCAGACUCCUACGGGAGGCAGCAGUGGGGAAUAUUGGACAAUGGGCGAAAGCCUGAUCCAGCAAUGCCGCGUGAGUGAUGAAGGCCUUAGGGUUGUAAAGCUCUUUUACCCGGGAUGAUAAUGACAGUACCGGGAGAAUAAGCCCCGGCUAACUCCGUGCCAGCAGCCGCGGUAAG
rnacentral:rRNA from 1 species